rnacentral:lncRNA from 1 species
CGAACACCACAAGGUGGGUUGUACAACAGACCAUGCCUGCAUAGACUGAAGUACUUCUUACGACCUCCGGUUCAUCAUCUGUUCUUUCAGACGCUAAUACCGGAUAAAGACACGAGAGAACAAGGGUCAAAAAUUAGAACCCAUCCCUCAUCGAAGACUAAGAAUGGUAACAAAUACCAUUGAAGAGAAUUUUCCCCUGGGGACUGUGCAGUUUUUGAUGGACUUUGUGUCACCCCAGCAUUACCCACCGAAAAUCUUGCUCAGUGGCUCUGAGACUGUGGAUGUCCUAAAGGAGGCCUACAUGCUUCUCAUGAAAAUUCAACGGCUACAUCCAGCCAAUGCCAAGACAGUGGAGUGGGACUGGAAACUGCUCACCUAUGUCAUGGAGGAAGA